GGAGAAAUUUGAAAUCCUUAUAUUAUAUUAUACGUGACUGGCAGUCAAGAGGUCGUGAGUUCGAAUCUCAUCUUCUCCA
rnacentral:tRNA from 1 species